rnacentral:rRNA from 1 species
GGCCAAGCUAUUAAGGGCAAACGGUGGAUGCCUUGGUACUGAGAGGCGAUGAAAGACGCGGCUAGCUGCGAUAAGCCUCGGGGAGCUGCUUAACAAGCUUUGAUCCGGGGAUUUCUGAAUGGGGAAACCCGUCUCGGGUAGUGCCGGGACAGCUGCAACUGAAUACAUAGGUUGUAGCGGCCAACGCAGAGAACUGACACAUCUUAGUAUCUGCAGGAACAGAAAGCAAUUGCGAUUCUCCUAGUAGCGGCGAGCGAACGGGGAACAGCCCAAACCGAAUAUAUGUCAAGCCCGGAAGCGUUGUAUAUUCGGGGUCGUGGGAUUCGAUUGGACGGAUUUCCGGAUCCGUCGGGAAGUUACAAAACUGAUUUAUAGCUGAAUCGCCUGGAAAGGCGAACCAUAGAAGGUGAUAGUCCCGUAAGCGAAAUGAAUCAGACUUCCUGGAUCGAAUUCCCAAGUACUGCGGGACACGAGAAACCCUGUGGGAAUUCGGGAGGACCAUCUCCUAAGGCUAAAUACUACUCAGUGACCGAUAGUGAACUAGUACCGUGAGGGAAAGGUGAAAAGUACCCCGGUGAGGGGAGUGAAAUAGUACCUGAAACCGUUUGCUUACAAGCAGUGGGAGGGCUAUGAACAUCGCUGCGGCGAUAUUCAGCCUGACCGCGUGCCUUUUGCAUAAUGAGUCAGCGAGUUACUUUACGUAGCGAGGUUAAGCCGAUAGGUGUAGCCGGAGCGAAAGCAAGUCUGAACAGGGCGAAUUAGUUGCGUGGAGUAGACCCGAAACCAAGUGAUCUAUCCAUGGCCAGGGUGAAGCGCAAGUAAAAUUGCGUGGAGGCCCGAACCAGUAUAGGUUGAAAACUAUUUGGAUGAGCUGUGGAUAGGGGUGAAAGGCCAAACAAACUUGGAAAUAGCUGGUUCUCCCCGAAAUAUAUUUAGGUAUAGCCUUGCAAAUUAAGUGACGGGGGUAGAGCACUGGAUGGGCUAGGGGUCCUACCAGAUUACCAAACCUAACCAAACUCCGAAUACCGUCAACU